CCCACCCAGACAGCUCAUUCCUGUUUUGUUUUUUUUUUUUUAAUUAAAAAAAAAGUGAAAAAGAGUCGCUAGCAGAACAUAUUUCCUUUUGCGUUCUGAAGCUGGGUGCAUUGCGACAUCUUUUGGUCAGUGUCCACAGCGGCGGGGAGCUGCGUGGAGCUGGAGGGCAGGAGUAGACAUUUUCACAAGUCAACGGGGGGAGUUCACCACAUUGCGUGCGUGCGGAAGCUGCGGGAAAGAUAUGCCAGAGAACCGAGCUCCCAGCUCCCGCACCUGUGUCCUGUGGACGACUAUGAUGCGGGUAUGCUGGAAGUUCACACUCAUGAUGGAGGGGUCGGCCCCCACAGAGGAUGUGUCUCUGAGAUGCUGCAGAAGGUGUGGGCACAUCUCUCUCACGACACCAUUGACGGUCACCAUUCGAGAGUCCAGGGUGCCGGGCUGCUGGGGGGUGGUGAUAUUUACCAAUAGGAGGCUGUACCUAUUAGAUCCAAGAUCUGUAGGGCCUACGGGGUGGAUAUGACCUAUAGGACAGUGACUGACUCACUCUACCUUCAUCUUCCUCAGGUAAGUUCUCUCAUCUUGAAAUAGACCAGGUGGGAUUCACCUGCACCCCCAUCCCGUCAGUUCCCAAAGGAGCACGUUGCAGCAGCAAAUCAUGAAACAACCCUACAGCAAGAGUUAAGGGUGUUUUUCUUAAAUACUUUAUUUAUUUAUUUGAGAGAAAGAGAGAGAGCACAGAGGGAGAGGGAGAGGGAGAAGCAGGCUUCCCACUGAGCAAGAGCCCGACGCGGGACUCGAUCCCAGGACCCUGGGAUCAUGACCUGAGCCGAAGGCAGAUACUUUACUGAUAGAGCCACCCAGGCGCCCCAAGAUUUAAGGUUUUUAAAGGAUGAGGUGAAUAGCUCUCUGCCAGAUGCAUCUUUAUUGACUGAAUGUGUCCAAGGCUGUGACCUGGGGCCGAGACCUCCUUGUGAACCACCUGGCUGUACCUCAGGGUUGGCAUAUUUUGGCUCUAAGGAAGAAGAUGGUAAAUAUUUAAGCUUUGAGGUCCACACAGUGUCCGUGGAGAUGCCUGGACUCUGUGGUUGCCAUGAGAGUGGCCAUGGGCGAUAUGUAACCAAAUGGGCACAGAAGUGUUCAAAUAAAACUUUAUUUACAAGAGCAAGUUGGGGGCCAGCUCAGGCCUGAGGGCUGAGUUUUUGAGCCUUGCUCUGUGGCUCCUGGUGCAUGUGGUUGACCUCGGGGUGGAACAGUGAGGACCCUGGGGAUAAAGCUCGGCACAUUGGGGCUGGGUGUGGAUGCAUAUUGGGCUGGUCUUACUGUGUGUGCGCCUUGCACAGAAAUGGACUCAGCUCCUUCAUGUGGUCUGGAAGGUGUUCUUGACCCCAGGAAUGUCAAGUUCACCUGCCCAGGGAGCAGCUGGGCACAGGCCAACCGAGUUCCUGUAAGGAAGCCAGAGGGACUGGACGUGCCCUGGGCAGCCAGGGACUGAUUCUGAGUGACGGAGAGGAAUCUACAGCUCCCACAGGGAGAACAGGACCCGAAAUAGCAGCUCAGACCCUGGGAAACCGAGCUGCACCUGAUUGGAGCACCCGUUAAGGUCUGGCAUGAAUGCACAGGUAUUGAUGGCUGUCCUCCCAAAACCCCUGGCUCUGGGGACAUAGAGGACAGGCUGAGACCCGCUGGGCCUUAGCCCGGUUCCUUCCAAAGUCACAAGCUUCCUUCUUGUGGGGGAUUCCACGCCAAGACCCUGAGCCCCAGCUGGGCACUCGCACCUGCUAAGGGGGCCGUCACAUCAGUCAUAUGGUUCCACUGACCUGUCGACGGCAGAGUUAUUUCCCUGAUGCACGCACCUCUGUCCCCAGCGUGCAAGCCCUCAGAAGCAGCCCCUGGGCCUGCCAGCCCCGGGAAGGUGCCUGUGGACAGUGUCAGGCACAGGGAGUGGAGGAGGGAAGCGUGGGUGUGGAGGGAUCAGAGAGAACCUGCCGUCGGGCAGGGGGUACAUUUAUCUGUUCUUGUGCCUGAAUUGGAGUCCCCGGGAGCACCUGGUCCUUCUGAGUGACAGUUUCUCUCAGGGGGAAACAAAGUGGGGGUGACAAAGCUCCUUCCAUGUCUUGUAGGGCACUCAUGAGUCUUGUAGGGGACUGAUGCUUCAAUCCCUGGGACCCCAGACAAAAGGGCAUGGACCAGUGUCCUCACGUAUCUCCAGGACAGACAGACACUAGGUCCUCACCCGUCUCCAGGACAGGCAGACACCCCACGGUGCCUUCCAAAAGCUCAGAUUGCCUCCAGACACAAACUGUACCUCAGAUCCUAAGUGGACACAGGGGACCCCAUCUCCUUGGCCAUUGGGACAGGUCUUCACACCCCAGUGCAUACUCAAUGAGAGCUGGAGAAGCAUGUCCCUCCUCUCUGCACAAAGAAUAACUCAUUGGGGGCACCUGGGUGGCUCAGUCGUUAAGCGUCUGCCUUCGGCUCAGGGCGUGAUCCCAAGGUUCUGGGA